GUAUAUAAUUAUUAUAAUUUUAAUAAUCAUGCAUGGAUUAUGAAAGCAAUUCUUGCUAAUUAUGAACUAUUAUUACGAAAGCAAUAAUAAUAUUAAUAAAAGCAAUAUGAAGAAGUUCUCUGUGCAGGUGAAAGUGGCUGUAGUUAAGUUUGGGUGUGGAAACCCCACGUUCAGACCCCAGUUGUCCCCGAACACCCAUCUGUGGACCUUCCAUUGCUCCACCCUGGAGGUCCAGCUGGGGAUGCACCGACAGAAAGGCGUUAACGUGCGGAUCUUCUCCCCUGGGUUUCCGCAGGUGCCUCUGAUGGCUUAAACUUGAUUAAGGCAGAGGCGCGUAUAGGGAGCAGGCUCUGUGGGAUUGAUUUUCAAUAACCGCGUUUUAUAUGGUGCGUCUGCAGUCCGAGCUGAGCUCGACACUCCCGCCGAGCAUCGUGUGGAGAGCGAGGCGGAGAAGCUGCUCGCGAUUCCAGUUGCUGAGCGCCGAGUGCCCGCAGGCGGCGGCACUGGUGCAGGGGGGGUCCGGCCUCGUCGUUCAUCAUCGCGCCCGUCCCGACGGGCCGUGCCGGGCACCGCCUCGUAAUUACAGUCAUUCGGGGCCGCGGAAAGCGGGCAUCGCGGCGAUGGAUCGUGCUAAACGAUCGGGACGGGUUCGCAGAGCUGUCACCGCUGUUCGGCACACUGUUGCACCAGGGGCAAGACUCUGGCAUGAGCAUGCCUCCACAAGACUGCAGCAUGACGGAUCAGAUGACUCCACAUUGUUUCGUGCAGUCAGUACCCCAUAUCACACUGACGGGCAGACAGCAGUUGCAUCACUUUCUGCUAAAGAACAAGCCCUGUUCUCUCACAUCGCAGACAAAUGUUCACAACUCGGCGAGUGGUGCGUAUUCCAUCACAUUCUGGACAGACUCGCAGAUGGUGGAGAAUUUGGAGGGCUGCAUUGACGAUCCACUCAACUGUGUGCACAGUGCCCAGAUGCCAUCUUGCUGUUAUAGCUAUGGUGUUUAUGUGACUUUCGCAUUUGAGUUUCUGAUGAACGGUGAUCUCCAGGAUGUUAACACUGGAGGACUCUUGUAUGGUACUGCCAUUGAAAGUCAGGUAAGGGUCCAGUGCAGAUCUCUCUUAUUACCUCCGCCACCGAAGGUGAAGGAGGUUAUGUUUUCACGCCUUUCUGUCUAUUUGUUACUUGCAAAAUCGAAGAUUUUUCAAGUAUAUUGGUCAGUCGAUUUUGUAAUUCUGUCUGUCUGUUUGUCUGAUUAUCACCUACAGGUCACAAUUUUAAACCAAUCUUCACGAAACUUCACCACAUGGUCGAGUUUGUUAUAA
rnacentral:lncRNA from 1 species